rnacentral:piRNA from 1 species
UAGACAUUACCUGUUGAUCCCUGUUGCAGC